GAUUAACGCUGGCGGCAUGCCUAAUACAUGCAAGUCGAACGGAAGCAGCAAUGCUUUAGUGGCGAACGGGUGAGUAACACGUAGGGAACCUACCUAUACGACGAGGAUAACUACUGGAAACGGUAGCUAAAACUGGAUAGGAUCAAUUGAGGCAUCUUGAUUGAUUUAAAGAUCCUUCGGGAUUACGUAGAGAUGGCCCUGCGGCGCAUUAGCUAGUUGGUGAGGUAACGGCCCACCAAGGCGACGAUGCGUAGCUGAGCUGAGAGGCUAAACAGCCACACUGGGACUGAGACACGGCCCAGACUCCUACGGGAGGCAGCAGUAGGGAAUUUUCGGCAAUGGGGGAAACCCUGACCGAGCAAUGCCGCGUGAACGAUGAAGGUCUUCGGAUUGUAAAGUUCUGUGAUUGGGGAAGAAUGGUAUUCUUAGGGAAUGAGGAGUACAUGACGGUACCCGAUUAGAAAGCCCCGGCUAACUAUGUGCCAGCAGCCGCGG
rnacentral:rRNA from 1 species